rnacentral:rRNA from 1 species
GAUUAAGUUAUUAAGGGCGCACGGUGGAUGCCUUGGCACUAGAAGCCGAUGAAGGACGUUACUAACGACGAUAUGCUUUGGGGAGCUGUAAGUAAGCUUUGAUCCAGAGAUUUCCGAAUGGGGAAACCCAGCAUGAGUUAUGUCAUGUUAUCGAUAUGUGAAUACAUAGCAUAUCAGAAGGCACACCCGGAGAACUGAAACAUCUUAGUACCCGGAGGAAGAGAAAGAAAAUUCGAUUCCCUUAGUAGCGGCGAGCGAAACGGGAAGAGCCCAAACCAACAAGCUUGCUUGUUGGGGUUGUAGGACACUCUAUACGGAGUUACAAAGGACGACAUUAGACGAAUCAUCUGGAAAGAUGAAUCAAAGAAGGUAAUAAUCCUGUAGUCGAAAAUGUUGUCUCUCUUGAGUGGAUCCUGAGUACGACGGAGCACGUGAAAUUCCGUCGGAAUCUGGGAGGACCAUCUCCUAAGGCUAAAUACUCUCUAGUGACCGAUAGUGAACCAGUACCGUGAGGGAAAGGUGAAAAGCACCCCGGAAGGGGAGUGAAAUAGAACCUGAAACCGUGUGCUUACAAGUAGUCAGAGCCCGUUAAUGGGUGAUGGCGUGCCUUUUGUAGAAUGAACCGGCGAGUUACGAUUUGAUGCAAGGUUAAGCAGUAAAUGUGGAGCCGUAGCGAAAGCGAGUCUGAAUAGGGCGUUUAGUAUUUGGUCGUAGACCCGAAACCAGGUGAUCUACCCUUGGUCAGGUUGAAGUUCAGGUAACACUGAAUGGAGGACCGAACCGACUUACGUUGAAAAGUGAGCGGAUGAACUGAGGGUAGCGGAGAAAUUCCAAUCGAACCUGGAGAUAGCUGGUUCUCUCCGAAAUAGCUUUAGGGCUAGCCUCAAGUGAUGAUUAUUGGAGGUAGAGCACUGUUUGGACGAGGGGCCCCUCUCGGGUUACCGAAUUCAGACAAACUCCGAAUGCCAAUUAAUUUAACUUGGGAGUCAGAACAUGGGUGAUAAGGUCCGUGUUCGAAAGGGAAACAGCCCAGACCACCAGCUAAGGUCCCAAAAUAUAUGUUAAGUGGAAAAGGAUGUGGCGUUGCCCAGACAACUAGGAUGUUGGCUUAGAAGCAGCCAUCAUUUAAAGAGUGCGUAAUAGCUCACUAGUCGAGUGACACUGCGCCGAAAAUGUACCGGGGCUAAACAUAUUACCGAAGCUGUGGAUUGUCCUUUGGACAAUGGUAGGAGAGCGUUCUAAGGGCGUUG